GUUUGAAGAGGCGGCACCUUUCCCUGCCUGCGUUCCUUCAAUAGCCUGUGCCCCCUGAGAAUCUCUUUCUGCUCUCUGCAACAUCUCACUUCCCUUUUCUCUCUUCUUUGGGCUCCCCCGCCCCUCUCUACCGAGGCCUCUUUCAUAAUUAGGCUGAAAGUGGAACUUUCCCCCACUCCCUUACUUUGAGAUUUCUUUUUUCCCAGUGACCUGGGCUGCACUUUGCCCCCACUCCCUGCCUGCCAAUCUCUUCAGGGUUAGGGCCUCUCUCUUUCCAUUCUUGCCGCUCCCCCUCCUUGAGAGCUCCGGGAGGCCCAGCCUCCCUGAAUCCGAUCGGCUUCCAACACAGCAGCCCCCCUGUGGAGGAAGGAAGAGGCCUCCUCAGAAUGAAUGGCUGGCUCUCCAGGAGGAGCCCCACAUUGAAUCACUGCAACCUCUUGUGGACUAUUUUAUCAAAUGCUUUGGCAGGACCAGAGCAGCCUGGACUCUCAGGGAACCUGGCUUGGAGAGUGCGUGCUGGAAGAAGGGAGAAGGAUGAAGAAAUGGGAAGUGAAACUUUCCAGAGACAAUGCCCCAUACUGGCUAAGAAAUGUGAAAACAGCUGAAGAAGAAAUAAAGCAAAAGAGAAAAACAAGGAAAAAAGGGUAAACAAAGAGAGAAUUCACCUUUCACUCGCCUGCAAAGUCCUCGGUUGGAGAAUGAAGUUAAGACACAAAAGCUUAGCAACAACAACAUUGUGGGGGAAGGCACGAGAGGGAAGCCGAACAGCCAUUAAAGCAAUUAAGAAAAGAUUAAGGUCGCUGGUGGUGGAGAGAGAGAGAGACCCAUUAAUCAAUAGGCCAGAAAUCGCAGCAGGCUACAAAAUUAUAAAACUAGGCAAACUGGAGAACCACAGAGGCUCACCUCAACCAAGAUGCCUGAGUAACUCAAAAACAGAAACAUUAUAUUCAUUUCUCAAGCUUGGGGAAAAAAAAACAGGUCUUAGAAGAACUCUUUCCUUUUAAUCAGCUAAUGGAGACUUCCUGAGGUGGGGGUGAGAUCCAUGUUGAUUUCAAGGCAAAUUCUAAAGCAUCAAGGUCUAAAGAAAAAUUUGUAAUAAUGAGUGAUAAACAAUGUUAGUGGGCUGAGGGGAUAUCAUAGCAGAAAGCUGUGCGGUAAUCUUAGGCAGGGUCCUAAAAUGCCCUAGGGUAGGUUACAUUAUUGUUCACAAAUAUUUGCUGCCCCUGCCUGGGGAAGACAUACAUCCCAGCCCCACUGACAGCCCGCUUGGCUCUCUGACUUGCUUUGGCCAAUGCAGUACGUGUCCCUUCCAGGCGGAAGCUUUAAGAGCCAGGGGCACAUGGUUUGCCAUAUGCUUUUUGUCCCUUUGCAAUAAUAGCACAGCAAUAUUCUAGAUCCAACUUGUCCAACCUGCGGCUGGCUGGCCACCUGUGACCAGCUUUGAAUGCAGCCCAACACAAAUUCAUAAACUUUCUUAACACAUUAUGAGAUUUUUGUGUGUGUGUGAUUUUUUUUUUCUUUUCCCUCAUCAGCUCUCGUUAGUGUUAGCAUAUUUUGUGUGGCCCAAGACAAUUCUUCUUCUUCCAAUGUGACCCAGGGAAGCCAAAAGAUUGGACAAUGCUGUUCGAGAUAGAUUCCCCAGACUGAAACUAAAUGGGGCAAAGGCUCAGCCGACAGGCAGAGGACCUGUAACCUGAGCAAGAAAUAAAUUUUGUUGGCUUAGUACUGAGAAAUGGGGGAGGAGUGUUUGUUCCACAACCUAUCCUGAUUAAUACAUUUCCCUGUGACAUGUCACUGCCACACAGAACCUUCAUUGGCUCCCUAUUUCUUACAGGAUAAAUCCUGAACUCUUGGUCUUGAUAUCAAGCCCUACUCCCUGCACCCAUUCAUCUUAGAUUCUGCAUUUCUCUUUGUGUCUUGAUUGACUUGUUUCCUCACUGUGCCCCACACAUAACUUUUUGGGCAAGUGUUGGUGAAGUUCUCCUCUGCCAAGAGAUCCAAAUUGUGCAGGCCUUUGAUCAUGCUCUCUCUGACACCUGCUCUGUAAAGCCAUUUCUAAUCAUCUCCAUCUCAAAGCUAUUUCUAGAUCAUUCCAGCUUAUGAUAUCUGCCAUUCAAAUAACACUUAUUUUUACUUAAAAG
rnacentral:lncRNA from 10 species